GGGGAUUUAGCUUGGUGGCAUAAGCACCUGCCUUGUAAGCAGGCGGUCAUGAGUUUGAUCCCUG
rnacentral:tRNA from 1 species